GCUUACGGCCAUACCACGUUGAAAACACACCAUCCCAUCCGAUCUGUCAAGUUAAGCAACGUUGGGCCUCACUAGUUCUUGGAUUGGAGACGGCUUGGGAAUCCCAAGUGCUAAGCA
rnacentral:rRNA from 1 species